GCGAGCGCGACAAGCUGUCGACGGGAGCCUGGAGGAGCCACCUGUUCGGGUUCCCGCUGACAGCUGGGAUGGACCGAUAUAGGCGGACGGCUUGGCGUCGAGCAGACAAAGAGGAGAAGCGAAGGCGGCGGUGAGGGAGUGUUCCUCGUCUUGGCGGUUGCCGCUGACGUAUGGAUUCAGCUGGGGAUCCGUCCUGCCAUCCUGAGCCGGAGACAGAGCAGCAGGGGCCUGGCACUUCCUUUAGGGUGGAGUGCAGAUCCCAUCACGCUCCCAGGCUUUGCUGCCUUCCCUUCCUGGAAUGAGACUGGAUCCAGGGACCCAUAUCUGGGACAGCUGGCCGCAGAAUGUCUCCGUGAUUCUAGAGAACCCGUC